AUUUCAAUACGCUGUGUUACUUUCAAGGCGGGUUGGCAGAAUAAUGGCAGCAGGACCUCUCCAUGUCUGACUAAAGGUUAUUGACCCCUAAACUGGCAAAAGUGACACCCCCAUUUGAUACGUUUUGUCCCAGGACUCCCCAUGUGAUCGAAGCUUGCCUUGUUAGAUGUUUACUGCAUUCAUCUGAGGAAACCAUGGAAACCCCUCAAGGACCCCUGGGGGUCACCGGACCUCAGUUUAAAAUCUACGGGUCUGCUGCGUCUCUAUCUCUGCAGAGUGACAAACGCUUAUCACCCAGGAGCAGUUUCAUUGCACUGCAAUGCUCUUGUAACAGCCUGAUGAUUUGAAAAUGAUUAAGGGGUGAUCAUUUGAUGUACAAGAACUAACUUGUAAAAGUAACACUUUCUUUUUCUAACUGACGGUUAUGUUCCAGAAACGUUUUCCUGUUUCCUGUCUUUAUGCUACGCUACACUAGGCUAACUAGCUGCUUGCUCCAACUUUGCGAGUAUUGUACAGAGCGUGGUGUUAAUCCUCUCAUCUAAUCGGCCAGGAAAGACUGCACGCCUGUUUCUCAACAAGUCAAACUAUACUCCUUUAGGGAAUGUGAUGAGACGGCACGACACCUUAUCUUUCGCUUUGUUAAGCAUAACAAAAUCCAUAUCAUGUUUUCCUCAACUUGGGUCCAAGGACAAAGCCUACAGGUUUACUCAGCAAAGUAUGAGGAUUAUGCUCACAUCUGAGAUUUGCACAUUUAUUUUCACUGUCUUCAAAGUGAAGGUGGGUGCAAACAUUCCCACAAUGAAACAUAAUCAGACACUGGAUUCAGCUCGUCAUUCUAGCUGAAUGAGUGUUUUUUUGUGUGUGUGUGUGUGUGUGUGUGUGUGUAUGAGUGUGUGCCAUCACACGUGCAUGUAUACACUCGUUGCUAAGCAGACCCAGGUGGUUAGUGUUUUUAUUGAUAUCGCAGGACCUUUACAGACCCACUUUUACUACGACUGUGCAGGUGUGACUGAUCAUUUAACACAUGAAAAGAGACGGCAGUCAAACAAGAACCGUUCUGUGUU
ensembl:lncRNA